AGAAACUUAGGAUAACCAUUAAACCGAGGGCCUUCAAAGCCUUAAGCAAGAGUUAACCCUCUUAGUUUCUG
rnacentral:tRNA from 1 species